ensembl:lincRNA
UGGGGGGGCCUGGUUGCACCAUUUAAUAGUCAUUGUCCGACAUCAGGAGGUCCUUUCGCUCACGUAAGUGUCUAGCAACUGAGGGAAGUUUUGCUAAUCAAACAAGGAGCGGUUUAAUUAAAUCCAGAAUUGCAUGAAGAGGAUAGCCCUCUGCCAAUCCCUGCUCCCAGGCACUGGUCUCAGCAGCGCCGAAGUCAGACAAAUUGGUUAAAUUGAUCCUGCUCCGAGGAAAGGGUGGUUCAUCUAGGUCCAAUCAAGGGCAGAUUGAGGUGUGAUGUGGGACCAGGCGAAGGAAUCAGGCGGCCCACUCUUCCUGGGCGAGGAGUCUGGCUUCACAGAGCAAAAGCACCUCCGCUUCUGGGUGGCUUUAUUACCCGCUGAACACCCAGGGUCUUGAAUUGUGAGCUGCAGGCCCACCCUUGCUCCUCAGCAGGCCAUAAAGGCUGUGGGCUCAGACGGGAGCAGUCCGGGAAACCGGAGCUGGCCUUGUGUCUUUGUUCUGUCUAUAAUCUGCCAAAUCAGUAUUUGACCUAAUGAAUCACACACCAAGUCAGAGGACGUCCAUGCUCCUGCCCCGAGCUAGCUAUUUCCCACCAGUGUUUUUCACACCACGGACCUGGAAAGAAGGUCAGAAGACUCUCACCUCUCGUUCCAUGGACACUGUGUAUUUAUAUAUGGCUCUCUCUGCCUCUGGACACCAGCUCCCUGAAAGCGAGGCUAAUGACCAGGUCAUGUUUGGAUUUCCUGCAUCUGACACAGCGCAGAUUUUCGUGGUGAGUGCUGAGCAAACAGACUCCAGAUGGAUGGAUGGGUGGAUGGGUGGAUGGGUGGGUAGACGAAGGAGUCCAUUCUUAGUUCCCAGUGAAGUGGGCAUUUCUUGCAUAACUCCUUCCUAGGCACAGAAGAG